AUUGAACGCUGGCGGCAGGCCUAACACAUGCAAGUCGAACGGUAACAGGAAGAAGCUUGCUUCUUUGCUGACGAGUGGCGGACGGGUGAGUAAUGUCUGGGAAACUGCCUGAUGGAGGGGGAUAACUACUGGAAACGGUAGCUAAUACCGCAUAACGUCGCAAGCCCAAAGAGGGGGACCUUCGGGCCUCUUGCCAUCGGAUGUGCCCUGAUGGGAUUAGCUAGUAGGUGGGGUAACGGCUCACCUAGGCGACGAGCCCUAGCUGGUCUGAGAGGAUGACCAGCCACACUGGAACGGGGACACGGUCCAGACUCCUACGGGAGGCAGCAGUGGGCAAUAUUGCACAAUGGGCGCAAGCCUUAUGCAGCCAUGCCGCGUGUAUUAAGAAGGCCUUCGGGUUGUAAAGUACUUUCAGCGGGGAGGAAGGGAGUAAAGUUAAUACCUUUGCUCAUUGACGUUACCCGCAGAAGAAGCACCGGCUAACUCCGUG
rnacentral:rRNA from 1 species